AGAAGUUGGUUCGAGGACUUCAUAAACCAUAGCAGUGCAAAUCAUAUUACACGUUUCACGGAAUACAUAAAUCCAGCACAACAAAUAUUUAGCUUUUUAUUGUGCUUUCAUUCGUAGAAAGCUAUGUCUGUCAGAUGUGAGAAGGAAAAGAAAGCUGGAGUGCUGAGUAUGAUUCAUUCAGACCAUUUGCGGCUAAAUUUGAACAGUCUAGCCAUCUGACUGAGAGAUAACCUGAAGUCGCCAAGCAUGGUGCAUGGAGC